rnacentral:lncRNA from 1 species
AACUCUAAUGAUGGAAUUCGGACCAUCCGAGCAGCCCUGAACAGCGUUAGCCGUUCUCCUCAUUCUUGCUUAUUCUCUCUGCCCAGGUAAGAAACUGAAUACAGAUGCCAUUAUUUUUUCCCAAAUGAAUGAUGCCUAUUUCCAUGGCGAGACAGACAGAGCUAGAAAGAUGCAGCUUGUUGUACACAAACGUUUCUCAUUGCUGUCACCCGCUUUUACGUCCUAAAAUUCAUCAACACCACUUAGUAAUCUAUUCUGUCACACAAUCAGUCUCUAAACGGUGGAUUUCGUUCUGUCUCUGCUGCCACUAAGUGACCUGGAGCAGGCCAAAGCUUCACUGGUGACAUGUGACCCAGGAAGACAUUGCUGUGGGAGACCUAGCAUGCCUAGCAUGGGGAAAGUUACCGUGCCCAUUUUUCUCAGGAACUGUGAUGCACCUCUGUGUGUCGGGUGGCAGAGGCUCCUUAUCCUGGGCACCAACUUGAUUGAAGGCUGAUGACAAGAAGGAACAGCAUCUGCAAGAUCGAUGUGUGGGAAAAUGAAAAAAGUCAUUGGUUAUGGUGGUGUCGUGGGGCUAAAGACCGUUGAAACAGGAUCUAAAAUGAUAGACCUUAAAGAAUUAAAAUCAAACCCAGUGUGGUGGUACAGGUCUGCAAUCCCAGUUUAAAGCCAAUCCCGGCUAUACAGGGAGUUCACGGCCAUCCAGGGGCUAGAGGAGACCCUGUCAAGAAAAAAAGGAAGGAAGAAAGAAAGAAAGAAAGAAAGAAAGAAAGAAAGAAAGAAAGGAAGAAAGAAAGAAAGGAAGGAGAGAAAGAAAGGAGAGAAAGAAAGGAGAGAAAGAAAGGAGAGAAAGAAAGGAGAGAAAGAAAGGAGAGAAAGAAAGAAAAAGAGAGAAAGAAGGAAAGAAAGAAAGGAAGAAAGAUGGAGAGCGAGAGACAGAGAGAGAGAGAAGAAAGAAGGAAAAGAAAAGAAAGCAAGCUGAGCCUCUUUGGUCUUAGCAACAGAAGCAAAAUGUGUGACAAGAAAUGUUCUGGUUUAAAACCACGCAAAACAAGACAAAACAGAAACUAAGCUGGACACACUAGAGCUAGCGCACUCCUGUAAUCCCAACACUGGAGAAUUGGAAGCAGGAAGAGCCCUGCAAGUCCAAAGCCAGUCUGCUCUAUUGUGAGUUGUGGGCCAUCGAGGGGCUGUGCUCCAAGACCCUGUUCUCAACCACAACUCCCCCAUUGGCCCAGGAAGCCCAGUGGAGGCGCCAGGAGGCACCAGUGGAGGGGGUUGCAUUCCCAGGAAGCCUUCACAGGACCCCCUGAGUCACAGUCUUCACAUUUCCUGACUUCAGCUUCCUGGCAGCUUCAGAACCAUAGCACUGGUACAGAAUGGGCAGAGAGAAUCCAGCGAUAAUAAACCCAUUUUCCUUUACCAGUUGAUGUUUCAUACUUUCUUUUGGAAAAUGAGGCAGCUGGCGUAUGGCCCGAAAUGCCCAGCCACACAUGACAACCCUAUGCAGGUACAAAGCAUGAAUACAUUAAAAAUAACUCGUUUCCUCAUAAGUAAAUUCUACAUAAAUAAAGUUGCCCAACAUAAUAACCAGCACCAUUCAGGAGGCAGAGGCAGGAGGAUCUCAGUGAGUUGGAGACUGGUCUCAUCUGCAGAGUGAGCUCCAGGCCAGCCAGAGUUAAAUGGUGGGAUCCUAUCUCAAAUAAAUACAUUUAAAAAUGUAGUGUUAUAGAAAUUUUUAAUCUCAAUCUGGGGUUUCUACCCCACCUUUAACCAUUUAGUUCCAGGAUAAAAGACGUAACCUUUAUAUUUACAAUCAGCCUUAAACAGCACAGGAGCUGGGCAGAUAUCUACCCUCUACACCAUUAAAAUCUACUUUCUUAUCG